GAGGAGUUUUAUUCUUGCUUGUUCGUUCAUUAUUUUACUUGCUCUAUAUGUAAGUUUGUGCGUGGUUGUCCUGUUGGUUCUAGAUGGUCUAAUCGGGGGUUGAUUUAAUUCUCAUUAGUUGUUUUUAUUAGUCAAGGAUUCUUGUAGUUAGUGAUGUAUUUUUAGUUUCGGUUAAAUUUUGUGCCAGCAGCCGCGGUUAUACCUUGGAUGCAGUUGAACGUGUUUGGUUUGUGGUAGUUAUAUGUUUGUUAAUUUGUUAGGUUUUAUGUUGGGGGGUUGAUUAGGUGAAAUUUUUAUUUUUGUUAUUUUCCUUAUGUUAUUGUUUGGAGGCUAUGAAAUUCUUUUUUAAACUAGGAUUAGAUACCCUAUUAUUUUGGAACGUUAAUUUUUGUGCCUGAGUAGUACUAGGUAUGUUCUUGAAACUUAAAGAAUUUGGCGGUAUUUUAUUCCGUUCAGAGGAAUCUGUCUCGUUAUCGAUAGUCCGCGUUGGACCUUACUUGGUUGCUAUGGUUUGUAUACCGCCGUUUAUUGAUUAUGCUUUUAGGGUUUGUUAAUUUUCUGGUUUCUCUAUUUUGAUUUAUUUCAGGUCAAGGUGCAGCUUGUUUCUAAGUGUUAUUGAUGGAUUACAUUGUUUUUUGUUGUUUGGAUUGCUGGUUGGAUUAUUGGCAUGAAAUUGGAUUUGAUUGUAAUGUCUUGAAGAUUGUUUUCGUGAUACUGGUUCUAAGAUAUGUACACAUCGCCCGUCGCUCUCGUUUAGUUGUUAAUGAGAUAAGUCGUAACAAAGUGGUUGUACCGGAAGGUGUGGCUGGAGUGAUUAUG
rnacentral:ncRNA from 1 species